CCUGAAGGAGAAUUGAGAUGCCCAAACUGCUCUCACAAUGAAGAUAUUUCAAACUCAACAGAGAAUUUAAAGAUACAUCAGAAGCCAAAGUCCACCUCAGCUGAUGAGGAAAGGGAAACACAACAACCGAUGAUGAAGAAGAAAGAAGUAUGGAGACGACAAUGGGAAGUAGAGGUAGCGAAGAAACAAGGAAAAGAAAGAGUUUUUCACCAAGAUUGUACAAAACAUGCUUUUUCGCCCAAUACAUCAGCUGAAUUAGGUAACAUUGAAGUUAAAAAUAAAGGGGGAGCUACAGUCAACAAAAUAAAUAUUGAGAAUCUUGUGCUGGUUAGUGAAGUUGGCGGUACCAUGGAACCAAUGAAUAAGAAUUAUAUACCCUCAGAUAAGG